rnacentral:rRNA from 1 species
UGGUGAUUGGUAUACCAGUGUAAGCAGGUAGGCAGAGAUCUUAGGCAAAUCCGGGAUCUUAAUGCUGAGAUGUGAAUGCGAGGAGGUUACGACCUCCGGAGUGGUUGAUGCUAUGCUUCCAAGAAAAGCUUCUAAGCUAUAGUGAUAUGAGAACCGUACCCCAAACCGACACUGGUGGUUGGGAUGAGAAUUCUAAGGCGCUUGAGAGAACUCGGGUGAAGGAACUCGGCAAAAUCGUACCGUAACUUCGGGAGAAGGUACACCUUCCUUGGUGAAUGCUUUACGCAGUAAGCUGAGGAGGGUCGCAGUGAAAAGCUGGCUGCAACUGUUUAUCAAAAACACAGGACUCUGCAAACACGAAAGUGGACGUAUAGGGUCUGACGCCUGCCCGGUGCUGGAAGGUUAAUUGAUGGGGUUAGCGUAAGCGAAGCUCUUGAUCGAAGCCCCAGUAAACGGCGGCCGUAACUAUAACGGUCCUAAGGUAGCGAAAUUCCUUGUCGGGUAAGUUCCGACCUGCACGAAUGGCGCAAUGACGGCCAGGCUGUCUCCACCCGAGACUCAGUGAAAUUGAAAUCGCCGUGAAGAUGCGGUGUACCCGCGGCAAGACGGAAAGACCCCGUGAACCUUUACUAUAGCUUUACAGUGGAUUUUGAAUCUUUUUGUGCAGGAUAGGUGGGAGGCUUUGAAGCUAAGACGCUAGUUUUAGUGGAGCCAUCCUUGAAAUACCACCCUGAAAGUUUUGGAAUUCUAACUUAGAUCCAUUAUCUGGCUUAAGGACAUUGUCUGGUAGGUAGUUUGAC